rnacentral:tRNA from 1 species
ACUUUCGUGGUGUAGUGGUCAGCACACUCGGCACGUAUUCGAGAGAUCCCAGGUUCGAGUCCCGAUGAGAGCA